CGAAAGUUAGAGGUUCGAAGGCGAUCAGAUACCGCCCUAGUUCUAACCAUAAACGAUGCCAGCCAGCGAUCCGGCUGUGUUCCUCAAAUGACACGCCGGGCAGCUUCCGGGAAACCAAAGCUUUUGGGUUCCGGGGGAAGUAUGGUUGCAAAGCUGAAACUUAAAGGAAUUGACGGAGGGUCACCACCAGAUAUGGAGCUUGCGGUUCAAUUUGACUCAACGCAGCGAACUCUACCAGGCCAGGACACAGGUAGGAUUGACAGAUUAAGAGCUCUUUCUUGAUUUUGUGGGUAGUGGUGCAUGGCCGCUCUUGGUUCGUGUAGUGAUUUGUCUGGUUUAUUCUGAUAACGGACGAGGCUCUAGCCUACUAAAUAGACGCUUGGAUCAUUCCUAGUCCAGCGUUUCUUCUUAGAGGGACUGGCGGCGUUUAGCCGCACGAGGCAGAGCAAUAGCAGGUCUGUAAUGCCCUUAGAUGUCCUGGGCCACACGCGUGCUACAUUGAAGGAAUCAUCGUGUGCUUUCCCUUUCCGACAGGAAUGGGUAACCCGUUGAACCUCCUUCGUGCUGGGGAUAGGGGAUUGCAAUUAUCCCCCUUGAACGAGGAAUACCUAGUAAGCGUGAGUCAUUAUCUCGCGUUGAUUAUGUCCCUGGCCCUUGUCCACACCGCCCGUCGCUAUUACCGAUUGAAUGUCUUAGUGAGGACUUCGGAUUGGCUGUCGAUUUGGCUUUAGGGUCGAGCCGACGUGCCGAAAAGAUGUCCGAACUUGGUCAUUUAGAGGAAAUAAAAGUCGUAACAAGG
rnacentral:rRNA from 1 species